rnacentral:lncRNA from 1 species
UGCUGAAUGAGAAACUAGGAAGAUCUGCCUUUUGCUUCUCAGCCCUGGAUCAGAGUUGGAGAAAUCUCAUUACCUUCACAAGCCUCAGUUUCCUGUUUUAAAAUUAAAAUAAUGAUAUUUUCUGCCUCCUUUUUUCCUCCUGUCAAGUUUAAUUGCUAGCCUUCCUGACAGUGUUACACCUGAAAAGCCUUGUAACAGUGUUCAUCUCAGUGCUGUAGUGUAUUAAUUCCUGUUAAAGCAACAGAGGCCUAAGAGAGGGAUUCAUUUGUUUUAUGGAAUGAAUUACAAAUAAAUCAACUCAGUGCAUUAUUAGAACCCCAGUAUGGUUUCAAGUGGAGGUUUACUGGCUUGCUGUGUUCGAAGCCAAUGGAGGCUCCUGGGGGCAGAGCCUUCUCUCUUUGUAUAUUUGCUUGUAAGUGCUGUAAAAUAGUAUCAUUAUGCAGAGGCUGUCCAGUUCCUUGUACAAUAUUAUAACCCAAAUCUGUGGGCCACAUAGAAGGCUCAUGAUGAUAGAAAGCAGUCUCAAGAGUCAAUGCUUCAGGCUAGUCUUUUAUUAAUCUCCAGCAAAAUGAGGUCCCACGGCAGCAAAUCACACAGCGCUGACACAUUUAGUGCUUGUCUUCCCUAGUUCACAUAAGGGGAAGAGCUUUGCAUCCCCAUUUCUGAGAGAAUGAGGUGCAGCAUGCACUGCGUCUAAGGAAGAGGUUGGGUUUGCCAAGAGCACCAGAUGAGACAUUGAUGAAAUCCUGGGAGCGCCUGUGUACUUCUGGUGGUGUGGAUUGUAAAUCACAUGCAUAUUAACCUGGGAAAGCUGUUUCUAGUACCUGAGCUUGAUCAUGGAGAGUUCUCAACUAUUUCUCUGCACAGAACUGCUGCGCCUCAGCCUCGACUCCACACUCAUCUCUGCAGCAUCUUUCAGAAUAGCUCAAUGGUUGGCUUCAUCUUCUUUCAAAAAAUCUUCUGAGACUUCACUUCAAAGACUCAUGUAAAUGGCAGCUUCAAUGACAGGUUCUCUGCUUUCAUGCCACAGCUUCUGAUUUUGCUCAGCAAUUCCCUAGUUUCUACAACAUCAGCAGUGAGUAAACAUCAUGUAAAACUGAUUCUGGCGAUGAGUGGGAAUGAAGAGCAAUGUGGUGAUGUCCUUUUUUGAGGUGAGUUUAAACAAGGGCUGUGAAAAUAAGGGCUCCAAUAUAUGUACUGAUGCAAACAGCUGUGCUUCUUGAAGGAAUGCUGUCCCUCCC